AUACGGAGGGUGCAAACGUUGUUCGGAAUCACUGGGCGUAAAGGGCGCGCAGGCGGUUUGAUUAGUCACAUGAGAAAGCCCACGGCUUAACCGUGGAAGUGCAUUUGAAACUGUCAGACUUGAGUACCAGAGGGGGUAGUGGAAUUCCCGGUGUAGAGGUGAAAUGCGUAGAUAUCGGGAGGAAUACCGGUGGCGAAGGCGACUACCUGGCUGGAUACUGACGCUGAGGCGCGAAAGCGUGGGGAGCAAACAGGAUUAGAAACCCCAGUAGUCC
rnacentral:rRNA from 1 species